rnacentral:snoRNA from 1 species
GUCUCAGUGAAGAGCUCUAGACCAUAGGAAGUGCCGUAUGACACUGUAAACAGCAGCUGCUUCUCUGCCUGCUGCAAGUGCCCAUUCUCUUAUAAUAACCUCUGUGGUUUUAUCUGGAUGGAAUUACCCAUUUGUACCAGCUUGAUUCAGCUGUGUGCUUGAUUUUAAACGGGUCUCUGAGGGAU